rnacentral:rRNA from 1 species
GACGAACGCUGGCGGCGUGCCUAAUACAUGCAAGUCGAGCGGACCAAAGGGAGCUUGCUCCUGGAGGUUAGCGGCGAACGGGUGAGUAACACGUGGGCAACCUGCCUGUAAGACUGGGAUAACAUCGAGAAAUCGGUGCUAAUACCGGAUAAUAAAAAGAACUGCAUGGUUCUUUUUUGAAAGAUGGUUUCGGCUAUCACUUACAGAUGGGCCCGCGGCGCAUUAGCUAGUUGGUGAGGUAACGGCUCACCAAGGCGACGAUGCGUAGCCGACCUGAGAGGGUGAUCGGCCACACUGGGACUGAGACACGGCCCAGACUCCUACGGGAGGCAGCAGUAGGGAAUCUUCCGCAAUGGACGAAAGUCUGACGGAGCAACGCCGCGUGAGUGAUGAAGG